rnacentral:rRNA from 1 species
UACGGAGGGUGCAAGCGUUAUCCGGAUUUACUGGGUUUAAAGGGUGCGUAGGUGGGUUGGUAAGUCAGUGGUGAAAUACUUUCGCUUAACGAAGGAACUGCCAUUGAUACUACCAGUCUUGAAUACAGUUGAGGUAGGCGGAAUGCGUCAUGUAGCGGUGAAAUGCUUAGAUAUGACGCAGAACACCAAUUGCGAAGGCAGCUUGCUACACUGUUAUUGACACUGAGGCACGAAAGCGUGGGGAUCAAACAGG